GAUGAACGCUGGCGGCGUGCUUAACACAUGCAAGUCGAGCGAAGCAUUUUAAAGGAAGUUUUCGGAUGGAAUUUAAAAUGACUUAGCGGCGGACGGGUGAGUAACGCGUGGGUAACCUGCCUCAUACAGGGGGAUAACAGUUAGAAAUGACUGCUAAUACCGCAUAAGCGCACAGUGCUGCAUAGCACAGUGUGAAAAACUCCGGUGGUUUGAGAUGGACCCGCGUCUGAUUAGGUAGUUGGUGAGGUAACGGCCCACCAAGCCGACGAUCAGUAGCCGACCUGAGAGGGUGACCGGCCACAUUGGGACUGAGACACGGCCCAAACUCCUACGGGAGGCAGCAGUGGGGAAUAUUGGACAAUGGGGGAAACCCUGAUCCAGCGACGCCGCGUGAGUGAAGAAGUAUUUCGGUAUGUAAAGCUCUAUCAGCAGGGAAGAAAAUGACGGUACCUGACUAAGAAGCCCCGGCUAACUACGUGCCAGCCGCCGCAGUAA
rnacentral:rRNA from 1 species